CAGCAGCCGCGGUAAUACGAAGGGUGCAAGCGUUAAUCGGAAUUACUGGGCGUAAAGCGUGCGUAGGCGGUUUGUUAAGUCUGCUGUGAAAUCCCCGGGCUCAACCUGGGAAUGGCAGUGGAUACUGGCAAGCUAGAGUGUGUCAGAGGAUGGUGGAAUUCCCGGUGUAGCGGUGAAAUGCGUAGAGAUCGGGAGGAACAUCAGUGGCGAAGGCGGCCAUCUGGGACAACACUGACGCUGAGGAGCGAAAGCGUGGGGAGCGAACAGGAUUAGAUACCCCCGUAGUCCCUGUCUCUUAUAC
rnacentral:rRNA from 1 species